AUACGGAGGAUCCGAGCGUUAUCCGGAUUUAUUGGGUUUAAAGGGUGCGCAGGCGGCCAUUUAAGUCAGCGGUUAAAUCGUGGGGCUCAACCCCAUUCUGCCGUUGAUACUGGGUGGCUUGAUUGCGGUCGAGGUUGGCGGAAUUCGUUGUGUAGCGGUGAAAUGCAUAGAUAUGACGAAGAACACCGAUUGCGUAGGCAGCUGACCAGACCGCAAAUGACGCUCAUGCACGAAAGUGCGGGGAUCGAACAGGAUUAGAUACCCUGGUAGGCCGCACAGUAAACGAUGAAUACUUGUUUUCGGCGAUAUAAUGUCGGAGGCAAAGCGAAAGCGAUAAGUAUUCCACCUGGGGAGUACGCCGGCAACGGUGAAACUCAAAUGAAUUGGCGGGG
rnacentral:rRNA from 1 species